rnacentral:rRNA from 1 species
CCUACGGGUGACAGCAGUGGGGAAUAUUGCACAAUGGGGGAAACCCUGAUGCAGCGACGCCGCGUGAGUGAGGAAGUAUUUCGGUAUGUAAAGCUCUAUCAGCAGGGAAGAAAAUGACGGUACCUGACUACGCUGCCCCGGCUCCCUCCGUGCCAGCAGCCGCGGUCAUCCGGAGGGGGCAAGCGUUAUCCGGAUUUACUGGGUGUAAAGGGAGCGUAGACGGAAUUGCAAGUCUGAUGUGAAAAUCCGGGGCCCAACCCCGGAACUGCCGUGGAAACUGUAGUGCUAGAGUGUCGGAGAGGCAAGUGGAAUUCGUGGUGUAGCGGUGAAAUGCGUAGAUAUCAGGAGGAACACCAGUUGCGAAGGCGGCUUGCUGGAGGAUGACUGACGUUGAGGCUCGAAAGCGUGGGGAGCAAACAGGAUUAGAUACCCCAGUAGUC